rnacentral:rRNA from 1 species
UACGUAGGGUGCAAGCGUUGUCCGGAAUUAUUGGGCGUAAAGAGCUCGUAGGCGGUUUGUUGCGUCGGCUGUGAAAUCCCGAGGCCCAACCUCGGGUCUGCAGUCGAUACGAGCAAACUAGAGUGUUGCAGGGGAGACUGGAAUUCCUGGUGUAGCGGUGAAAUGCGCAGAUAUCAGGAGGAACACCGGUGGCGAAGGCGGGUCUCUGGGCAGUAACUGACGCUGAGGAGCGAAAGCGUGGGGAGCGAACAGG